rnacentral:rRNA from 1 species
GUGGGGAAUAUUGGACAAUGGGCGAAAGCCUGAUCCAGCCAUGCCGCGUGUGUGAAGAAGGUCUUCGGAUUGUAAAGCACUUUAAGUUGGGAGGAAGGGCAGUAAGUUAAUACCUUGCUGUUUUGACGUUACCGACAGAAUAAGCACCGGCUAACUUCGUGCCAGCAGCCGCGGUAAUACGAAGGGUGCAAGCGUUAAUCGGACUUACUGGGCGUAAAGCGCGCGUAGGUGGUUUUGUAAGUUGGAGGUGAAAUCCCCGGGCUCAACCUGGGAACUGCCUCCAAAACUGCAGGACUAGAGUACGGUAGAGGGUAGUGGAAUUUCCUGUGUAGCGGUGAAAUGCGUAGAUAUAGGAAGGAACACCAGUGGCGAAGGCGACUACCUGGACUGAUACUGACACUGAGGUGCGAAAGCGUGGGGAGCAAACAGGAUUAGAUACCCGGGUAGUCC